AGAGNNNGAUCCUGGCUCAGGACGAACGCUGGCGGCGUGCUUAACACAUGCAAGUCGAACGAUGAAGCCCUUCGGGGUGGAUUAGUGGCGAACGGGUGAGUAACACGUGGGCAAUCUGCCCUUCACUCUGGGACAAGCCCUGGAAACGGGGUCUAAUACCGGAUAACACUCUGUCCCGCAUGGGACGGGGUUAAAAGCUCCGGCGGUGAAGGAUGAGCCCGCGGCCUAUCAGCUUGUUGGUGGGGUAAUGGCCUACCAAGGCGACGACGGGUAGCCGGCCUGAGAGGGCGACCGGCCACACUGGGACUGAGACACGGCCCAGACUCCUACGGGAGGCAGCAGUGGGGAAUAUUGCACAAUGGGCGAAAGCCUGAUGCAGCGACGCCGCGUGAGGGAUGACGGCCUUCGGGUUGUAAACCUCUUUCAGCAGGGAAGAAGCGAAAGUGACGGUACCUGCAGAAGAAGCGCCGGCUAACUACGUGCCAGCAGCCGCGGUAAUACGUAGGGCGCAAGCGUUGUCCGGAAUUAUUGGGCGUAAAGAGCUCGUAGGCGGCUUGUCACGUCGGAUGUGAAAGCCCGGGGCUUAACCCCGGGUCUGCAUUCGAUACGGGCUAGCUAGAGUGUGGUAGGGGAGAUCGGAAUUCCCUGGUGUAGCGGUGAAAUGCGCAGAUAUCAGGAGGAACACCGGUGGCGAAGGCGGNUNUCUGGGCCAUUAC
rnacentral:rRNA from 1 species